AGCCGCGGUAAAACGUAGGACACGAGCGUUAUCCGGAGUUACUGGGCGUAAAGGGCGUUUAGGCGGGUGACUAAGUUCGCUAUGAAAGCGCCGGGCUAAACCCGGCGAGGCUGGCGGAUACUGGUGAUCUGGAGUGAGGUAGAGGGAAGUAGAAUUCCGCGUGUAGUGGUGAAAUGCGUAGAGAUGCGGAGGAAUACCAGUGGCGAAGGCGACUUCCUGGACCUUAACUGACGCUGAAGCGCGAAAGCAUGGGGAGCGAAC
rnacentral:rRNA from 1 species